rnacentral:rRNA from 1 species
AUUGAACGCUGGCGGCAGGCCUAACACAUGCAAGUCGAACGAGUGGCGGACGGGUGAGUAAUGUCUGGGAAACUGCCUGAUGGAGGGGGAUCACUACUGGACACGGUAGAUUAUACCGCAUACCAUCGGGUGUCCCCAGAUGGGAUUAUCUAGUAGGUGGGGUAAAGGCUCACCUAGGCGACGAUCCCUAGCUGGUCUGAGAGGAUGACCAGCCACACUGGAACUGAGACACGGUCCAGACUCCUACGGGAGGCAGCAGUGGGGAAUAUUGCACAAUGGGCGCAAGCCUGAUGCAGCCAUGCCGCGUGUAUGAAGAAGGCCUUCGGGUUGUAAAGUACUUUCAGCGGGGAGGCGUUACCCGCAGAAGAAGCACCGGCUAACUCCGUGCCAGCAGCCGCGGUAAUUC